AUUGAACGCUGGCGGCAGGCUUAACACAUGCAAGUCGAACGAGUGGCGGACGGGUGAGUAAUGCUUGGGAAUUUAGCUUAUGUAGGGGGAUAACUACGGGAAACUGUGGCAACUACCGCUUACCAUAGGCUGAGCCCACGUUGGAUUAGGUAGUGGGUGAGGUAAAGGCUCACCAAGCCGACGCUCUCUAGCUGGUCUGAGAGGAUGACCAGCCACACUGGGACUGAGAAACGGCCCAGACUCCUACGGGAGGCAGCAGUGGGGAAUAUUGCGCAAUGGGGGCAACCUGACGGAGCCAUGCCGCGUGAAUGAAGAAGGCCUUCGGGUUGUAAAGUUCUGUCGGUAGCGAAGCGUUAACUACAGAAGAAGCACCGGCUAACUCCGUGCCAGCAGCCGCGGUAAUAC
rnacentral:rRNA from 1 species